rnacentral:lncRNA from 1 species
GUUUAUUUAGUAGUGUGGUGAUGAUUGCUCUGCCUUUUCUUGUGGAUUUGACCUCCAAACAAAAGGCUAUAAAGAUAUUAUUUGUCUGCUGAGAAUAAAUCCCUCUCUGUACCAAGAUGUAAAAGUAUAGUGAUGGUGAUGUAAAUAUGUAUUAUUUGAUUGUUUUUAUAUGUGAUAACUCCCAAAGUUUGUAACUGGGUAACAGGAUUUGUAAAUUUUCCAUGAGAAUACUGGUGGACCUCUAAAUUUUUUUUUUUUCCCUNNNNNNNNNNNNNNNNNNNNNNNNNNNNNNNNNNNNNNNNNNNNNUCUCCUGUGUGGAUUUUCUAUGAUAUUUAGUUCAGCACUAUUGUGCUUUGCAAGACUAGCAAAGAAAGUCAAAAGGACACAUUUGCCAUCCCUCACUGGUAACACAGCCUUGAAACAGCACAUCUGGACAAAUGGAGCAAUAGCUUAUUCUGUCACAGCAGAAUUAGACCAAAGGGAUGUUGAAUUUUUGGCUGUGGAUACAAACAGCUUCAGCAACAGCCCUGAUGGACACAAGCGUUGAUGGGUAUGAGCUCAGCUGGAGCACUGCACUGCUGAGACUGUCUGGCUCCCCAGGACAGCGUGGUGGGACUUGGCUUGAGGUAACAUCUGUCCAACAGAUCCUACCUCACAUGGAUCCUACCUGGGAUUAUGCUCUGUUCUGUGCAGUGGAUGGAAGUUCAGUGUAAGUAGGUGAAACUGCUCACAGCUGCUGAAGUUAUCCCAUGUAUCUCCAUUCCACGGGAUUUGAAAUGGGGAAAUAAUAAUUAUUUUGAAAUUCUUUAUAUUGUAGUGAUAAUCUGGAACAUUUAACAAAUUGUACCUUGGAAAGUUGUAUGAAAACAACAUUGGAAAAGUCAAGUACCUUCUGUUGAAAAAUUACUCUUUUUUCAGAAAAAAUAUUCUUGAAACAUUCCUAUCAGCUUGGAUAAUAAUUUAUCUCUGGAAAGACAAAGGCUGUGUUACUAUAUGGUGAAUGUAUUUUAUACUGCCAAACAUUAUUGCUUUGUAAAGUGUUACAAAUUUAUGUGAGAAGGAAGAGCUUGUUUAUCUUAAACUGUAACACUACUUCUUGGUCAGCAUGGCAAAGUCCUUAGUGGGGUUUGCCUCAAUAAAUAAUACCUUCUUCUUAGUGAUUAUUCUGGUGUAUUUCAGUAAAAUUUUCUAUAUACUUUAGAAGGUACUUUUGAGUCAUAAAUUGAUACUUCCUGAAGUGUAAUUUUCAGUCAUUUGU